rnacentral:rRNA from 1 species
UAGGGAAUCUUCGGCAAUGGGGGGAACCCUGACCGAGCAACGCCGCGUGAGUGAAGAAGGUUUUCGGAUCGUAAAGCUCUGUUGUUAAGGAAGAACGAGUGUGAGAAUGGAAAGUUCAUACUGUGACGGUACUUAACCAGAAAGGGACGGCUAACUACGUGCCAGCAGCCGCGGUAAUACGUAGGUCCCGAGCGUUGUCCUGAUUUAUUGGGCGUAAAGCGAGCGCAGGCGGUUAGAUAAGUCUGAAGUUAAAGGCAGUGGCUCAACCAUUGUAGGCUUUGGAAACUGUUUAACUUGAGUGCAGAAGGGGAGAGUGGAAUUCCAUGUGUAGCGGUGAAAUGCGUAGAUAUAUGGAGGAACACCGGUGGCGAAAGCGGCUCUCUGGUCUGUAACUGACGCUGAGGCUCGAAAGCGUGGGGAGCGAACAGG